CCUCUCUCGGCGUGGCGGGGUCCGAGCCGCCGCCCGCCGCGGGCAGCAGCGCCGUGAGGUGCUGCCCCGUUCCCGGGCCCUGCCGUUACCUGGGAGAGCCGGGGCUAUUUUUAACCUGGAUGUGUUCUGUGAUAUGUUUCCCACACAGCACAGAAACUGGCACAGCUGAGGGGCAGGAAAGAGCAUUGCUUUAGUUCCUGUUGGCUCAGUCGCAUUAGCUGAACAUGAGG